rnacentral:rRNA from 1 species
GAUCAUGGCUCAGAUUGAACGCUGGCGGCAGGCCUAACACAUGCAAGUCGAACGGUAACAGGAAGAAGCUUGCUUCUUUGCUGACGAGUGGCGGACGGGUGAGUAAUGUCUGGGAAACUGCCUGAUGGAGGGGGGAUAACUACUGGAAACGGUAGCUAAUACCGCAUAACGUCGCAAGACCAAAGAGGGGGACCUUCGGGCCGUCUUGCCAUCGGAUGUGCCCACGAUGGGAUUAGCUUGUUGGG